CUGGCAAACUUUUUUAUAGAGUCCCAAGCUGUGUGAGAAUUUCUAUUUACUCAUUUUUGUACAAUGAGAAUUUUACCCAAACCUUAGAUUCAGUUCGUCCUCAAUAUGGUUUGGCUGUGUCCCCACUCAAAUCUCAUCUUUAAUUGUAGUUCCCAUAAUCCCCAUGUGUCAUGGGAGGGACCUAGUGGGAGGUAAUUGAAUCAUGGCAAUGGUUACCCUCAUGCUGUUCUCAUGAUAGUGGGUUCUCACAAGAUCUGAUGGUUUUAUAAGGGGCUUUUUCCCCUUUUGCUCAGCACUUCUCCUUGCUGUCACCAUGUGAGGAUGUGUUUGCUUCCCCUUCCACCAUGAUUAUAAGUUUCCUGAGGCCUCCCCAGCCAUGCUGAACUGUGAGUCAAUUAAACCUCUUUCCUUUAUAAAUUACCCAGUUUCGGGUAUGUCUUUAUUAGCAGUGUGAGAACGGCAAAUUGGUACCACAGAGAAUGGGGCACUGCUGUAAAGAUACCCAAAGAUGUGAAAGCAACUUUGGAACUGGGUAACAGGCAGAGACUGGAACUAAUGGAAGGGCUCAGAAGACAGGAAUAUGUGGGUUCAUAAGCAGAAGGGACUUGCCUUGUCUCAGAUGAGACUUUGGACUUGGACUUUUGAGUUAAUGCUGGAAUGAGUUAAGACUUUGGGGGACUGUUAGGAAGACAUGAUUGUGUUUUGAAAUGUGAGGACAUGAGAUUUUGGAGGAGCCAGGGGCAGUCCCCACCCAAAUCUCAUCUUGAAUUAUAGUUCCCAUAAUCCCCACGUCAUGGGAAUUACCUCCGAUGGGAGGUAACUGAAUCAUGGGAGCAGUUACCCUCAUGCUGUUCUCAUGAUAGUGAGUUCUCACAAGAUCUGGCUUUUUUUUUUUUUUUUUUUUUUUUGAGACAGAGUCUUGCUCGAUCACCCAGGCUGGAGUGCAGUGGCACAAUCUAAGCUCACUGCAACCUACAUCUCUCGGGUUCAAGUGAUUCUCCUGCCUCAGCCUCUUGACUAGCCAGGAUUACGGGUGCUUGCCACCAUGCUUGGCUAAUUUUUUUUUUUUUUUUUUUUUUUUUUUUUUUUUUUGUAUUUUACAGACGGGGUUUCACUAUGUUGGCUAGGCUGGUCUUGAACUCCUGACUUCAGGUGAUCUGCCUGCCUUGGCCUCCCAAAGUGCUGGGAUUACAGGCAUAAGCCACUGCGCCCGGCUGAUCUGAUGGUUUCAUAAGGCUUUUCCCCCUUUUGCUCAGCACUUCUCCUUCCUGCCGCCAUGUGAAGAAGGACAUGUUUGCUUCCCCUUCCACCACGAUUGUAAGUUGUUUCCUGAGGCCUCCCCGGCCAUGCUGAACUGUGAGUCAAUUAAACCUCUUUCCUUUAUAAAUUAUCCAGUUUUGGGUAUGUCUUUAUUAGUAGAAUGAGAACAGACUAAUACAACCCUUAAAGGAGACUGACGGAGAGGAUUCUUCCUGGAUCCCAGCACUUCCUCUGAAUGCUACUGACAUUCUUCUUGAGGACUUUAAACUGGGAGAUAGAAAACAGAUUCCAUGGCUCAGCAGCCUGAGAGCAGGGAGGGAGCCAAGCUAUAGAUGACAUGGGCAGCCUCCCCUGAGGCCAGGUGUGGCCGAACCUGGGCAGUGCUGCCACCCACCCCACCAGGGCCAAGUCCUGUCCUUGGAGAGCCAAGCCUCAAUCACUGCUAGCCUCAAGUGUCCCCAAGCCACAGUGGCUAGGGGGACUCAGGGAACAGUUCCCAGUCUGCCCUACUUCUCUUACCUUUACCCCUCAUACCUCCAAAGUAGACCAUGUUCAUGAGGUCCAAAGCCAGGCUCCCAGAGAGCCCUCAUUCUCGUUUGUCAGUGUGGUCCCACAGACUCUAUUGAGCAGAAAUUCCUUUAAGUAUCUUGCAUGUGAACUUUUGUAGGCUCUCACAGCUGUGCAGGUUUCACCUGUGUUUGUGUUCUGUUGGUUCAGUCAUGAGCAGAAUUGGGGAAGGAAUCAGGCACACCUACCUCAGUACUAAUUUUUUUUGGCUGUUUUUUCCCAAAAUGUCAUAGAUCAGUUACAGAUAACAGAAGAGUAACUGUACAGGAAAACUGUCACUUUGGGCUGUCUGUGCUGCUUAAAUGGGAAGGCGGCUGCAUCUUUGAUCCCAAUUUUUAAAUUUCUUCUUACUGUAACUAUGAGGUAAAGGAGCCGGCACAUCAAACAUUUUCACCUGCAACAAAUAGGAAUCAUUUUCUUAUGCACCGAAUUGAGAACUUUGGAAUGAGUGGCUCUGUUUUUUCCUUUUCUUCCCCCUUGUCUGUCCUCCAUAUCCCAUUCAUUCUUUUUUAUUUAUUUUAUUUUUUUUAGACCGAG
rnacentral:lncRNA from 1 species